rnacentral:rRNA from 1 species
AUAUCAGUCAUGCAUAGCAUAUCAAUAAGCGGAGGAAAAGAAACUAACUAAGGAUUUCCCUCAGUAACGGCGAGUGAAGCGGGAAGAGCUCAAAUUUGAAAUCUUCAAGGGUUCUACCUUUACGAAUUGUAGUUUAAAGAAGUGUUUUCUGUUGGAGUUUCGGUAAAAGUUCUUUGGAAUAGGACAUCAUAGAGGGUGAGAAUCCCGUAUUUGGUCAUUCCUCCUAGCGUUGUGAUACACUUUCAACGAGUCGGAUUGUUUGGGAAUGCAGUCCAAAAUGGGUGGUAAAUUUCAUCUAAAGCUAAAUAUUGGCGAGAGACCGAUAGCGAACAAGUACCGUGAGGGAAAGAUGAAAAGAACUUUGAAAAGAGAGUUAAACAGUACGUGAAAUUGUCAAAAGGGAAGCGUUUGACACCAGUGUUGUUUUUCCGAAAAUCAAUUAUGAAUGUUUUGUUUUUGAGGAGUUAUGACUUCAUCGGCUUGCUCCUUUCUUUAUGAAACUUUCUUAAUGCACUUUUCGGUUAACAAGUCAACAUCAAUUUCUUUUGUUGUAAAAGGGUAUGAGGAAGGUGGCCUUCUUUUCGGAGAAAGUGUUUAUAGCCUUGUGCCUCUGCAAUCGGAGAGAUUGAGGUCUGCAGCGUAGAUCCUUCGGGGUUAGAUACAUUUGUAGCUAAGUUAUAGCUUUUCAUAGACAACUUGUUGACUAUGUUUAGUCUUGUAGCUUACUCGCUUACUGCUAUUUUACCUACGCUUAGGAUGUUGAUCUCUCACAGUCGAGC